rfam:Schistosoma mansoni strain Puerto Rico chromosome W, complete genome
AUCCAACUGACGAGUCUCAAAUAGGACGAGACGCGUGUCCUAGAU